rnacentral:rRNA from 1 species
CACGGAGUUAGCCGGUGCUUAUUCCUCUGGUACCGUCACACAAUCCCGCAGGACUGCUGUUCUUCCCAGAUAAAAGCAGUUUACAACGCUGAGCGCCUUCAUCCUGCACGCGGCAUGGCUGGGUCAGACUUCCGUCCAUUGCCCAAUAUUCCCUACUGCUGCCUCCCGUAGGAGUUGGGUCCGUGUCUCAGUACCCAUGUGGGGGCCAAUCCUCUCAGAACCCCUACUGAUCAUCGCCUUGGUGAGCCAUUACCCCACCAACAAGCUAAUCAGACGCAAGCCCCUCCACAACCCAUAAAUGUUUACCUUCAAAGUCAGGUGACUCUCAAGGACUAUGCGGGUUUACCCUCGCUUUCGCAAGGCUAUCCCCCAGUUGUGGGCAGGUUGCUUACGCGUUACGCACCCGUUCGCCACUGACCUUACGAUCCGUUCGACUUGCAUGUAUUAGGCCUGCCGCUAGCGUUCAUCCUGAGCCAGGAUCAAACUCU